rnacentral:lncRNA from 1 species
GACCGACGGCGAGAGCCUCCCGACUUGCGCUUCUACUUUCUGUAAAUAAGGCGAGGCGGGAGGAGGGGGCAUCCGAGCCGCCGCCGUUGACCCCAGCCUCCGAUGACUGCUACUACCUCCGGGCGGUGUGUGGGUGGAUCUUGAUCUCUACUUGCAGAGACUCUUCUCUCGGCUUUGAUGUUACGGACAUCUAUCUAUCUAUCUAAUCUGCACCCUUCCCUCCUGCGGAGUCAUCCGCCUCGGGAUGACCCCGGCUGCCGGCCGCGUCGCAUUCGUUUCGUGCUCUCUCUCUCCUGCAGCUCCGGCGAUCGACCGGCUUCUCUCCCAGCCUCUGCUCGGCGCGGCGGCGGCGGCGGCGCCCCUCAGGAGAGCAGGCUUGAUCGUCGUUUCCUAAUCUCUUUGACCGGCCGGUGUCAGGGGCAGCAGUCAGGUGAUAAGCUUGGAUCUUCCUCGGCCCCCGUAUCUGGCCUGUUAUUUUUCGCAGCAGAUCGCUCUCUCUCUCUCUCUCUCUCAGCUGGCAGCCAAGAAUCAAACCACGUGGAGGAGGUCCUCCGGGCAAUUAUGAGGGAAUAUUAAUUAGCUUUUGUCGAGCGGCCACCUCGUCGUCGGACCAAGAGGACGCGUCCGGUGUCCUGUGACGUGGCCAUCUGGGCUCGCCAGGCCCAAUCGCCAAGCGUCGGCACAGGAUUCCAAGACUGCGAUAAAUAAAAAAGCCAAUCCCAGCAAUUAUUACCCCUUUAUUUUUAAUGCCUUUUCAAGUCCAUUUAAUCCCUGGGAUGAGAGAAUUUUAUUAAAAAAAUGCCACGUGGCCAGUCUUGGUAGGAAGCCUGGCGAAGCCCGACGAGCGGAUGAAGGGCUAUCGUGAUGCGUGGAGAAGGGCUUUGUCCCCGGGUCACGCAGUCACGUGACCACGUUGGCGUGGUGAUACCCCGACUAGACUGGUGCAGGCGGGGGGCGUCGUCGGCGCAGUAAGAGAGAGAGAGAGGGAGAGAUAUUUAGAGAGAGAGAGAGAGAGAGAGAGAGAGANNNNNNNNNNNNNNNNNNNNNNNNNNNNNNNNNNNNNNNNNNNNNNNNNNNNNNNNNNNNNNNNNNNNNNNNNNNNNNNNNNNNNNNNNNNNNNNNNNNNNNNNNNNNNNNNNNNNNNNNGAGUAGAGAGAGAGAGAAGAGAGAGAGAGAGAGAGGAACUGUUCAAGCAGCCCUUGCAGCUUUUCUGAGCAAGUAAAUGCAGGCUCCGCGUACGAACGCGCCCAAGGGCAGGAGCCUCUCUCUGUCUCUCUGUGGGGAGCCCGGAUCAUCACGCAGUCCGCUGAGCUUCUGGGUAGGGUUCGACUGCGACGGAGGCAACUCAAGGCUACCCGGCCUCGCCGCCCAGAUUCUUCACCCGUUUCGCCGGCGAUGGCACGGCGGGUUGCACUCGACGGCCGGGAAUUCUUUCCCCGGCGGCCUCGCCGGCCGACGGAAAAGUUCGAGCCCUGAGAAAGCAACCCCACGAGAGGGAGGGCGGGUCCACGCGCGAAUACUGCAAGAAGCCCUUGCAGCACGUGGGCUUUCAGCGGAGGCAGCGCCAUUACCGUCCUCGACACCUCUCCACUGGUCAGUGGUGGGCACUCAUUUCCCCUUCUCCCACGGGGGACGGCCAGCGGGUCCUCUGGCAGCAUUCGGAAGGUGAGCCCCAGCGCCCGUGCUGCAGCCCUCUCCAUUACGUCAGCGCCGUGCAACCCCCCCGCCCGCCCCCUUUUCCAUUGUCCCGUCCCGUCCUCUCCCCUCCCGUCCCCUCCCCCCUACGCCGGAGAUGGCGUCGUAGCCAGGGGACCGACGGAGGUGGGAACUCUGAGCGCUGCUCACCACUCGACGCAAACCCUAAAAACGGGAUCAUCUAUACCGGCAUCUCGCACGUUUGCGCUUCUUCUUCUUCUUCUUCGCUGUACAAACGCAGCGUGAGCGGCCAGUUUCCAGCAUUACAGGGAGUUGCCGACCCGGGAAGCUCAGACACCCCUGGGGGCGGAUAGUUUUCGAUCGAUCGACAAGUGACGGGACUAAGAGGUAGAUAGAGAUAACAUCAAAACCCUCCGCUCCGAGAGAGGAAGAGCCCCGUCCCGAGAGGCGCAGCGACAUGAAAGUUACCCAUCCAAACGCCUCGUUGCGGAAGCGGUGGCGCCGCUUGCUUCCGCCGCCGCGCCCGUUCUUCGCUGUCGUCUGGUCUGUUCGGAGGGUAGACAAAAAAAGCUCUGCUCAUCACGGCAGCGGCGCCUGCACGGUCACCACGAUGGGGCUGGUCACGGUGUGCCGUCCGUCCGACCAAGUCAAGGUCCCGCUCUUGGUGGUGGAGCUCCCCGGCGACUGCCACUCCGCCCCGGUGUCCUCCUCCACCCUCACGAGGAAGCUCAGCUUCUGGCCCGUCCUCCGGAACACCAGACGGGCGGGCUCCACGGUGACGGUGCUCCCCCGCGGCGCCUUCACCGUGGCCUCGUAGGCGGACCCGCCGGCGCCGACGUUGGUCACCGUGCGGAUGACGUGGGUAGACAUCCUCGCUCGCCCGCCCUGCACGAACAGCACCGAGAUGGAGGGGUAGUUGAGGUUGCCGGCGUGGCCCGCCCGCCUCGCGCCCCCGCAAUCCGCCGCCCGCCGCGUGAUCGCGCGGAUGUUCUGUUGCGUGUAGUUGAGGUUGCAGAGGAAGGCAACGUAGUCGCCGGCGGCGGAGUCGUAGACGAGCCCCGGGUCCAUGGCCUUCUGGGGGUCGACGUGCCCGGCGCCCAAGUCCAUCACCGUAGAGGUGUUGCCGGUGGACUCAUCCAGCAUCGUCUGGCCCCGGUUGUCCUUGGUGUACGCCGUCGUCAUCAGGGCCGACUUGAUUGCCGCCGGACUCCAGCCGGGGUGUGCCGCCUUGAGAAGCGCCGCCAGGCCGGAGACGUGCGGGCACGCCAUGGACGUCCCCGACAGGAUGUUGAACUCCGUCCGCCGGCCGUCGGCCGGAAUCGCCGCCGGCCCCACUCCAUCAGGCCAGGCGGCCAGGAUGUUGAGCCCCGGGGCGACGACGUCGGGCUUCAAGAUCUCCGGCGACUGCGGAUUGGGCCCCCGCGCUGAGAAGGCCGCCACCACCGGCGCCGGCCGCACCCCCAACCGGGUGCCGCGGAACACGAUUGUCGCCGUGGGCCCGCGCUUGGGCGGCGGCGAGUCCGCAAUGUAGCGGCGGAUGACGUCUCCCCCGGUGGCGCCUACGGCGGUGGCGGGGAGAACGUGGCAGUCGGCGACGAGUCCCUCGCCGUCGAAGACCCCGUUCGCCAGGAUCAUCGCGACGCCGCCGGCCUUCUUCACCACCUCCCCCUUGGUGGCCCGCGAGUUGAUCCCGCGAUCGCAGACGACUAUCUUGCCUCGGACUGCGGCGGGGUUGAGGGAGCCCUCCAGACACAGUGAGGCGGAGUAGCCGUCGCCGCCUUCGGAGCCGGCGUAGAUGAGCGGAUAGAGCUUCCCGGGGGAGAGGCCCGGUCCGCCGUAGACGCUGACACCGGGCACGACCACGCCGUUCCCAAGCUUCACAUCCGCCGGAAAGUCCCUGUCCAUGGAGCCCGCCCCCACGGUGGUCAUCCACGGCGCCACGUUCGUCACUGUCAGAGCUCCUGGGCCACCGUUGCCGGCGGACGCCGAGACGAAGAUCCCCGCCUCCAUGGCCGAGAAGGCGCCGACGGCGAUGGCGUCCAGGUAGUAGGGAACCACGACUCCGCCUACGCUGAGGGAGAUCACGUCGACGCCGUCGGCCACGGCGGAGUCGAAGGCGGCGAGGAUGUCGGAGUCGAAGCAGCCGGCAGCCCAGCAGACCUUGUAGGCGGCGAGGCGGGCCUUGGGGGCCAUCCCGGAGGCGACCCCGCGUGCGUACCCGAGGGUGGACGCCGGGUAGACGUAGCGGCCGGCGGCAAUGGAGGCGGUGUGGGUUCCGUGGCCGUCGGUGUCCCGAGGCGACCGCUCUUCAGCCGACUCGUUCAUCCGGCCGCUGGUGGCCUCGUACCCGCCGGAGAAGUACCGGGCUCCGAUCAGCUUCCUGUUGCAGAGAGUGGCCGAGAAGCCCUUGCCGGCGACGCACUCGCCCUUCCACCUCGUCGGGACCGGCCCUAGGCCCCGGUCGGAGAAGCUCCGCCGUUCGGGCCAGAUCCCUGUGUCGAUGACUCCGACAACGAGGUCCGAUCCGAAGUCCGAUUCGGCCAGCAGCAGCCCCGCGCCGUCCGCCGACUUGAGCCCCAGGAACUGCGGCGAUCUGGUCGUCUCCACAUGCCGGACCUGCUCGGGGUACACGGCGACGACGCCGGCGCGGGAUCGGAGGGCGUCCACGGCCAAGGGCGACAGCCGCGCGGAGAAACCGUGGAACACGGAGGCGUAGGUGUGGAUGACUGCGGCGGGGUGGGGGUCGAGAUCGUCGGCGGCGGAGGCUGAGGCCGCCGACAGCGACGCGUCGUACCAGUGCCGGUGCGUGGGGAAGGCGGCCGGCUUAGCCCCCCCGUCGACUCGGACAAUGUAGGUCCUCCUCCCCGCAGGGGAGGCCUGAUCGGCCCCGCAGCAGAGGAAGAGGAGGACGAGAGAGUGGAAGAGGAGAGGUGCUCCGUAAUUCGCCUUCAUCCUUGGGCUGGCUCGCAGAGGGCAACCAACGGUCUCACGCAGAGGCUCCGGCAACGGCGGCGCCCCGCAUGGCGCAGAGAGGCGCUGGAGCGGGCGGGUUGGUAGGGUUUUGGGAGCGGAGGCUGGGGAAGGAGGAGGUCAUCGUCUGGCCUGCUGGCAGGAAGGAAUACAUACAGCAGCAGCAGGAGGCCCCCGCCACAAGACGUGGAGUCGGUUCCACGCCCCCUCCUUGGAAAUAAUGAGGCUAUUUAUCUGGACCGUUUAUUUGUUGAUCGGAGAGUCAGGAUCCGAUCGGCGCGAUCUCUCAUCUCAGCCGUUGCAUCGUCAUCCGUCGCCAAAGGGAGGCGUCUGGAUGGAAGGCGACGUCUCAUGCGCAGCCCAAGGCACGUGAUCGAGCCCGCUUACGUGGGCCGCGACAAACGCGUGGGCCACCAGCCAGAUCGCGUGAUCGUCGGUCGGGCCAAACGAUUCGUUCAGCUGCCGUGGGGUCCCUCAACUUCAGGUGGCCCGCGGUCCGCAAAGGUCAUCAACCAAGGAUUGACUGCAGGUUGAACGGUUGACUUUUUCCGACGUUGACGGAGGAGUAUUAAGAGUAUUACACAUGUCUAAACUAAGCGUCAUAUAUCAGUAUUUGCAUUGCUCCUCUCUUGAAUAAGAAUCGCUUUAUGCCUUUUCUUUUCUCUCUCUUCGUUUUUUUUCGCUCUUACGCCCACUUAUGGGAGUAUCUUCCAUCUUUUAUUUUCAGACUAAUAAUAUAUGAUGGAUUCUGAAGUCAGUAUUAAGAUCUUCAAUCAAUGUUAAUUAUUUAUCAAAUAAAUUUCACCCAAAAUAAAAGUAAGAUUAGUGACAAUGGUGAAGUAAGUCCUCACCUUGGGAAAAGUGUCAAGGUAAAUCUUUAAAUUCCUUAACCAAAAUUAUAUUUGAACCUAAUACCUAUAUUUAUCUAGGGAAAAUCUUUGAAAGUGAUUACUAAUUAAAAUAAAAGUAUAAGAAUUUUGAUUGAAAGCUCUGGGAAACGCCAUGAAAUGAUGAAAAAAAUAAUGCUCAAUUGAGUCUAUUAGAAGGGAAGGAAAAUGCUCAUACAAAAAUAUAUUAACACAACCUCAAACUUAAUUUUAAAUUAAAAAGACCUAAGUUUACUUUUCAAAGCACGAUCUCAAUACUUCAAAUCAUAGUUUUUCUACUAAUAGUAAUUUAUAUGAUUUGCAACAUAUAUUUAACAAUAUUCAACAACUAAUUCAAUAAAAAAAUGCUUGAUAGAACAUUCGACUAAUUCUAUAUUAAAUCUAAUUGAACAUAAUGAUAUAAAAUCAUGGGGUCAUAAAUGAUUAACCUUUCAUACCCAUAUUUUACUUCAUUAAAUCUCAUUGAUUUGAAUACUCUAAUCAUUCAUGUCCUUAUUAUGAUAGUUUCCAUAUCAUGAUAAUUCACAUAGUAGCAUACAUAUUGAUGAUCUCACACUAGAUCAUAGAUUUUUCAUAUACUCAAAGACCUUUCAUUUAUAUAUUUAUAAUUCAUAAUUCGAGCAAUACAUACAUUCAUUGAGAUACAUAUAAUCAUGAGAUGUAUAAAUUAUUGAGCAAUAAUUCAUUCAUUCAUUCAAUCAUUCUUAAUUUCUUUUAUCAUUUUCUCAUCAUCAAGACAUAUUGUCUUUAUUGAUCUAACACUUUGAACUCUCUUUGAACUUCAAGUGUGAUUAUUCAACUUUCAUCUAGCUCAACAAAAUAGAUUUAGGUGGAAUAAUGUCGAGUAAAAGUAGAAAAUCUCACAAAUACAUGUAGUUUUUGCUUUGAGGAAAAACUAUCAUCUCUUCCUAUCUUAAACUCACCAAAAAAAAAA